UACGAAGGGGGCUAGCGUUGUUCGGAAUUACUGGGCGUAAAGCGUGCGCAGGCGGCUUCCCAAGUCAGUGGUGAAAGCCCGGAGCUCAACUCCGGAAUUGCCACUGAAACUGUGGAGCUCGAGAACGAGAGAGGUGAGUGGAAUUCCCAGUGUAGAGGUGAAAUUCGUAGAUAUUGGGAAGAACACCAGUGGCGAAGGCGGCUCACUGGCUCGUAACUGACGCUCAUGCACGACAGCGUGGGGAUCAAACAGG
rnacentral:rRNA from 1 species